UCUAUCUUUUCCCAAUUUAUUUUAUUUAACCACACUAAUCAACAUGAUUUCUUUUGGUGAAUAUAGAGUGAGUUUGUUUGUGAUCCUUCCCUUUAAUAAUAUACCCUAUAAAAGUUUGAUAAUAAUUUUUUUGAAUUAUUAACAUUGAAAUGAGGAAUGUUUGACCAAAUUUCGAAUACCUAUGAAAUAGGCUCUGAAAAUAUCUCCAUGAAGAGUCCAAGGGAGGGUAACCAUCCUCCGGAAAGUCAAACAGUUUGUCAU
rnacentral:lncRNA from 1 species